rnacentral:rRNA from 1 species
AUACGUAGGUGGCGAGCGUUGUCCGGAAUUACUGGGCGUAAAGAGCUCGUAGGUGGUUUGUCGCGUCGUCUGUGAAAUUCCGGGGCUUAACUCCGGGCGUGCAGGCGAUACGGGCAUAACUUGAGUACUGUAGGGGAGACUGGAAUUCCUGGUGUAGCGGUGAAAUGCGCAGAUAUCAGGAGGAACACCGGUGGCGAAGGCGGGUCUCUGGGCAGUAACUGACGCUGAGGAGCGAAAGCAUGGGUAGCGAACAGGAUUAGAUACCCUGGUAGUCCAUGCCGUAAACGGUGGGCGCUAGGUGUAGGGGUCUUCCACGACUUCUGUGCCGUAGCUAACGCAUUAAGCGCCCCGCCUGGGGAGUACGGCCGCAAGGCUAAAACUCAAAUGAAUUGACGGGG